GCCUGGGUGGCUCAGUUGGUUAAGCGUCCGACUUCGGCUCAGGUCAUGAUCUCGCGGUCCGUGAGUUUGAGCCCCGCCUCAGGCU
rnacentral:tRNA from 1 species